rnacentral:rRNA from 1 species
GGUCGCAGAAACCAGUGAGAAGCGACUGUUUACUAAAAACACAGGUCCGUGCGAAGUCGCAAGACGAUGUAUACGGACUGACGCCUGCCCGGUGCUGGAAGGUUAAGAGGACCCGUUAACUCGUAAGGGUGAAGCGGAGAAUUUAAGCCCCAGUAAACGGCGGUGGUAACUAUAACCAUCCUAAGGUAGCGAAAUUCCUUGUCGGGUAAGUUCCGACCUGCACGAAUGGCGUAACGACUUCUCAACUGUCUCAACCAUAGACUCGGCGAAAUUGCACUACGAGUAAAGAUGCUCGUUACGCGCGGCAGGACGAAAAGACCCCGGGACCUUCACUACAACUUGGUAUUGGUGUUCGGUACGGUUUGUGUAGGAUAGGUGGGAGACUGUGAAACUCCAACGCUAGUUGGGGCGGAGUCGUUGUUGAAAUACCACUCUGAUCGUAUUGGAUACCUAACUUCGAACCCUAUAUCGGGUUCAGGGACAGUGCCUGGCGGGUAGUUUAACUGGGGCGGUUGCCUCCUAAAAUGUAACGGAGGCGCCCAAAGGUUCCCUCAACCUGGACGGCAAUCAGGUGUUGAGUGUAAAUGCACAAGGGAGCUUGACUGCGAGACCUACAAGUCAAGCAGGGACGAAAGUCGGGAUUAGUGAUCCGGCACCUCUGAGUGGAAGGGGUGUCGCUCAACGGAUAAAAGGUACCCCGGGGAUAACANNCUCGUCGCAUCCUGGGGCUGGAGCAGGUCCCAAGGGUUGGGCUGUUCGCCCAUUAAAGCGGUACGCGAGCUGGGUUUAGAACGUCGUGAGACAGUUCGGUCUCUAUCCGCCGCGCGCGUCAGAAACUUGAGGAAACCUGUCCCUAGUACGAGAGGACCGGGACGGACGAACCUCUGGUCUACCAGUUGUCCCACCAGGGGCACUGCUGGAUAGCUACGUUCGGAAAGGAUAACCGCUGAAAGCAUCUAAGCGGGAAACCUUCUCCAAGAUCAGGUUUCUCACCCUUUUAGAGGGAUAAGGCCCCCCGCAGACUACGGGAUUGAUAGGUCAGACCUAGAAGCUCAGUAAUGAGUGCAGGGAACUGGCACUAACCGGCCGAAAACUUACCAAC